rfam:Fusarium oxysporum Fo5176 contig01927, whole genome shotgun sequence.
ACGCGCGACGCCUCCCCCACAGUCCUCCGGUCCUCGUUUCUCGCAAGGGAUCCUAUCGUAGGCACCCGCAUCAUUUGGUUACCCUUCCAUAUGCCGCUCUCGAGCCUGUAACAGGACCUCGUGAAUGCCGCAGCCGGAUUAUGGUGGGUAGCGCGUCCUGUAUAGGACGUACCAAGCGGGCGGGUGAACGAGGCUCGGAACUUAACCCUAAGAAGAUAUCUGGUUAUCAAGUUUUGCGCUCUUGUCGCCCAAGUCGUCUUUUAUGCCGGUGAAGCACCAGCUGUCAUCAUGCCCGCUGAAAAGUUGGAUGAUUGACUGGUGGCGCUACUGCCGACGGACAGGCGAGGAGGGCAGUCCAGUCACCGUUUGGGUGCGCGAGAGGAUCGGUGCCAUGAGUCGUUUGGUAAGAGCCUCUGGUCUGAGGACGCUCGUCAGCCCUUUCCGCUGGAACCAGCACAUUGGUCAAAAGUAGACCGUCUAGUCGUUGCGAUUAGCUCUAGCUCUGGGUCUUGGAGAUGGAACUAGUCUGACCACUUGGUCACACUGCUAGCUUGCCCAUUACGCCCAAGCAGCUGAGAAGUGGGGCUUCGAUCUGGCCUUCAAACAGCCAGUCAAUGAAUUUCAUUCAUGUCCCGAGUUUUCGCUUGCCGGAACCGCCAGUGAGGGUAAUUCCAUCUGGUGCAGCGGGCAACUCGCGGAAACACACAGAAAUUCGGCGACUGACAUAUCUUGCCAAUCGUACAGUCCCCGGUCCUUCAAAGCUGUUCAUGGCAUGGCGCGUUGCUGCACUACUUCACAUCCACCCAACCCGUUCGCACACUGGUCCACACCACAUCACUUACUACCGGUGUGUGACGCUCCGCGUCUGGUCUGACCAAGCGCAUUAACCUCCAGCCAUGGGUCUCAAUCCCUUGGUCAUGAUGGGCGCCAGCAAGCCUGCAAGGAUCAGAAGGUCUAAACAGGUCCCUCAGGUCCGCCGAAAGGUUGAACUGAGACGAAAGGGUGGUUUUUAUGGAUGUCUUUUGUCCACCCGUCAACGCCCUCCAUAUCUCUCGCUGGCGAGAACUUUGGAGAGGAAUCAAAAACUAGUCCUAGUUGGCAGCGCGAAUCAUACAGAAGGAGUUAUCUUGUCAGUGUCGGUGGGUUUUCAGACUGCGUUCUGCCAUGACAACUUUUGGUGGAGUCGUGUUUGCGAAGGUAUUGGAUCAUUAUGGAAUUGUCAGCUCACGAAACAGUCUUCACCUUUGCAAUGGCCGUUAUUGCAGGAGGAUACUUGUGGUUGGUGUUGGAAGCAUCACCGGGACCCAUCUCGAGUUGGAGUCAAAGUUUCGUGCUUGUCUGGUGUUGUGAAAGACCCUUCCAUCGAGUUGAGUCUCACAAUUCUGUGUCGCACUGUUGAAGCUGGGUUGCAUUGUUGGAUCUAGGACAGGCCUUGUUGGGUACGGUAGUCCUGGCUGUUCUCUCGCCUGAAAAUGGUGUGGAGGACAGCCCCCC